rnacentral:rRNA from 1 species
GGACUACUGGGGUAUCUAAUCCCGUUCGCUCCCCUGGCUUUCGUGUCUCAGCGUCAGCACACCCCCAGCGAGCUGUUUUCACCAUUGGCGUUCCAAAUGAUAUCUACGCAUUUCACCGCUCCACCAUUUGUUCCGCUCGCCCCUAGGUGGCUCAAGACGACCAGUAUACCAAGCAGUUCCACGGGUGAGCCGUGGGAUUUCACAAGGUACUUAGAAGUCCGCCUACACACGCUUUAAGCCCAGUGAUUCCGCCUAACGCUCGAGGCCUCUGUAUUACCGCGGCGGCUGGCAC